rnacentral:rRNA from 1 species
UACGUAGGGGCCUAGCGUUGUCCGGAUUUAUUGGGCGUAAAGCGCGUGUAGGCGGCUAUGCAAGUCGGAUGUGAAAGCCCUCGGCUCAACCGAGGAAGUGCACCCGAAACUGCAAAGCUAGAAUCUCGGAGAGGAUCGUGGAAUUCUCGGUGUAGAGGUGAAAUUCGUAGAUAUCGAGAGGAACACCGAUGGCGAAGGCGGCGAUCUGGACGAUGACUGACGCUGAGACGCGAAAGCGUGAAGAGCAAACAAG